GUAGUCAUAUGCUUGUCUCAAAGAUUAAGCCAUGCAUGUCUAAGUAUAAGCAAUUAUACCGUGAAACUGCGAAUGGCUCAUUAAAUCAGUUAUCGUUUAUUUGAUAGUACCUUACUACUUGGAUAACCGUGGUAAUUCUAGAGCUAAUACAUGCUGAAAACCCCGACUUAAGAAGGGGUGUAUUUAUUAGAUAAAAAACCAAUGCCCUUCGGGGCUUCUUGGUGAUUCAUGAUAACUUUACGGAUCGCAUGGCCUUGCGCCGGCGACGGUUCAUUCAAACUUCUGCCCUAUCAACUUUCGAUGGUAAGGUAUUGGCUUACCAUGGUUUCAACGGGUAACGGGGAAU
rnacentral:rRNA from 1 species